rnacentral:ncRNA from 1 species
UCUACUUAACUUAUACAUGCAAGUCUCCGCACCCCUGUGAAAACGCCCNAAUACUCCUAAUUGGAUUAAGGAGCUGGUAUCAGGCACAAUAAUUAGCCCAAGACACCUAGCCACGCCACACCCACAAGGGAANCCAGCAGUAAUUAACAUUGAACAUAAGCGCCAGCUUGAUUCAGUUAAAGUAAAAAGGGCAGGCAAAUAUGGUGCCAGCCGCCGCGGUUACACCAUGUGGCCCAAAUUGACUCCCUCCGGCGUAAAGAGUGAUUAAAGCAAUACCACACUGUAGUUGAACUAGAAUAAAGUUGUGAUAAGCUUAUAUCUAGGAAGCUCAAAAACGAAAGUUACUACACCCCCUUAAACAACUUGAACUCACAACAGCUAAGAAACAAACUAGGAUUAGAUACCCUACUAUGCCUAGCCGUAAACUUUUAAUUACACCCCAAACGCCAGGGAACUACGAGCUAAAGCUUAAAACCCAAAGGACUUGACGGUGCCCCAUAUCCCCCUAGAGGAGCCUGUCCUAUAAUCGAUAACCCCCGCUUAACCUCACCACUUUUAGUUAAAUCAGUCUGUAUACCUCCGUCGUCAGCCUACCACAUGAGUGCAUAAUAGUAGGUCCAAUGUCUUNUACCUCCGUCAAUACGUCAGGUCAAGGUGCAGCUAAUAAAGUGGGAAGAGAUGGGCUACACUCUCUAACUUAGAAGACACGAAAAGCUAAUAUGAAAUCUAGCUUNAAAGGUGGAUUUAGCAGUAAAAAAAGAACAGAGCGCUUUUUUUAACUCGGCCCUGGGGUGUGUACACACCGCCCGUCACCCUCUUCGCAGCCAUUUAAUAGUGUCUAACAANCCCCCUGCAUAGUAGAAGAGGUAAGU